rnacentral:misc_RNA from 1 species
GUGGUGUUUGGAUCGUCCCUGGCGGCUGGCUCCGUGCCCGUCCACCGAACGGUCGGCAGGCGAUCCGCGUCGGUCGUGCUGGGUGGUAUGGUUCCCCAGAGGCCGGUUCUUGUGCUGCCUACCCCUUCAGGGGAAGAGUUCCAAACUCGAUGUAAGCCUCCAUCCGGCGCCCUCCAGAGGGCGCGGGAGGACAACGGAGCACCCCCCGCGUUCCACCGAGCCUCCUCGGUCGUGUGGCCCGCGGGGACGUGCGAUGCUCUCGGACCCAGUGAACGCCGUGGGCGAGGACUCGCGUCCCUGUCCCAAGUGAAGCAACGGCACAACGGUGACGGCCGCUCCCGCCCCCCCGACCGCCCCGGCGGCGCGGGGGCGAAGGCGCGGCGUCGCUGAGGAAUGCUACCU